rnacentral:lncRNA from 1 species
AAAAACAAAAACGGAUUUGCAGUACUUCACAAAGUUAGAAAGUGGGGACAGAACAUCUUGGAGAAGACGAUUCAGUAAAAGUUUAAGUAUCUGUCCAUGGGAACCAUUUUUCCUUUAACAUUCUGGCAAAAAGAUUUUCCAGCAAAUGGCCUAAGUAUACAUCUAAUUUAAUUUCUUUCCAAUUGAAGCUUUUGUUUGUUUUCAAUACUUAAUGAGUAUAAAACUAAAUGAAAAAGGCAACCUAAAAUAAUUUAAAUUUAAAAUUCACUCAGCAUUUCAAUAGGACAUUGGGAUUUUCCUGUUGAUAAUAAAUUUAAUCUAGGUGUCAAGUGCAUGGAAACAUGAUUUUGCUUUAAAAAAUAAACAGCCAUGCUUCCUUCUAUUGCACCAUCAGUCAUUUAAUUAUAGAAUAGUAUUUUAUGUAAAUUAAAAUUGGAUGAAUGAAGUAAAAGUAAUGAUUGUGAAAUGGGAGUAUACAACGGUUUAUGUGUGUGAGUAGUUGGAGCAGGGUGACAUCAUUGACGAGAAGUAAUUCAGAAAUUACCUUUUUAUUGGUAUCUUUUGUUAUUGCUGUCUUGAUAGAUCUGCAGCCAAGCCAGUGUGCUUGGAGAUCUCAUACGGCAGCAAGGCGCAUACAGUUCCUCUUCUUCCUUUCCCUUGGAGGUAUUACCUUUGAAUGGGUAAGGACAGGCCUAUUCAGUUCAUGGGUUGUGCACUGCAUAGCUGCACUAACAGCCUUAUCUUGUGAAUACAAUAUCUGUCAGCCAAAAAUAAUCACUGGAGUAAAAAGUAAACAAGGGUGGCUAGAUUGAUUUUUUUACAGUCAAGAAAGCCACAGUUUGACUUUUUAUGGCCAGAAUUCCUUGUUGUUAGCUUUGAUGUUGCUACAUGAUUUGAGUAUAUGUUAGUCUGCAAAGCUAAUCCUGUAACAUCUUUGGGGUAGAUGAUGCUAUAUAGGGCCAGGGAUUUAGCUCAGUGGUGCUGCCGCCUGCCACACAAGCACAAGGUCCCAAGUACUAUCCCCAGUACCAAAAAAAAAGGCUCUAAAAAAUGCUAUAUAAAGGGAGUCUUACAUAGACUUUAUUAGUCCCACAGGUAUGAAGCUGGUACAGUACAUUGCUUUAUAGGAUGGGAAGCAUUCAAGAGAUAAAAAGGUUGAGAAGGGUAAACCUGAGAUUUCAGCAUGUGGUCUUUGAAGUGAAGUGAGAGAAAGAAAGCAUGUGCAGCAACUGAAAUGAGAAAUCAAGAUACUGUUUUAAGCAAGACAUUGCCUGAAUUACAGAUCAUCUGAUCACAGAAUUGUACAUAAUUCUUGAUCCCAUAUGGUUUCAUUUUAUUGUAAAUUUCCAUUUUCAUCAAAACAUAAUGAUAGUAAUGACUAAGUAAAAAGAAAAUGAUGUAUUGCUUUUCGUAUAAGUAUUUUCACAAAAACCAUUUGCCUAGGCAGUUAAAAUAUUACUUUGUUAAAAAAUA